UGAAAAGCGAAGAAAAGAAAAAGUAAUAAUUGAAAAUGCCAUACAGAGAGCAGCCGGUUGAUGAGAGGAGCAUGGACUAUCAAUUAUGAAUACAUCUUGGAGCAGUACACCGAAUGCGAAAGUUAGUAGGCUGUAACGGAGUGGCACUCGUUAUCGUGCUGGAAGUAUUGAUAGAUACUUGUUGAGGCAUUCAAUGCGAGUUGAAUGUGAAUUAAGGUGGUACCGCGAGAAUUACACUCGCCCUUUAG
rnacentral:ncRNA from 1 species